rnacentral:rRNA from 1 species
GACGAACGCUGGCGGCGUGCUUAACACAUGCAAGUCGAACGGUGAAAGCAGAGCUUGCUCCGCUGGAUCAGUGGCGAACAGGUGAGUAACACGUGGGCAACCUGCCCCUCACUUCGGGAUAACUCCGGGAAACCGGGGCUAAUACCGGAUAUGACCUCCUUGGGCAUCCUUGGAGGUGGAAAGUUUUUCGGUGAGGGAUGGGCCCGCGGCCUAUCAGCUUGUUGGUGAGGUAGUGGCUCACCAAGGCGACGACGGGUAGCCGGCCUGAGAGGGCGACCGGCCACACUGGGACUGAGACACGGCCCAGACUCCUACGGGAGGCAGCAGUGGGGAAUAUUGCGCAAUGGGCGAAAGCCUGACGCAGCAACGCCGCGUGCGGGAUGACGGCCUUCGGGUUGUAAACCGCUUUCAGCAGGGAAGAAGCCGCAAGGUGACGGUACCUGCAGGAGAAGCACCGGCUAACUACGUGCCAGCAGCCGCAGUAA